rnacentral:rRNA from 1 species
AUUGAACGCUGGCGGUAUGCUUAACACAUGCAAGUCGAACGGCAGCAUGGUCUAGCUUGCUAGACUGAUGGCGAGUGGCGAACGGGUGAGUAAUACAUCGGAACGUACCCAGUUAUGGGGGAUAACUAACCGAAAGGUUAGCUAAUACCGCAUACGCCCUGAGGGGGAAAGCGGGGGACCGUAAGGCCUCGCGUAAUUGG